UAGUUCGUAAAAAACCCAAAU
rnacentral:piRNA from 1 species